rnacentral:rRNA from 1 species
UAUUACGAUAAUAGGGCAUCCUAUAAUUAUGACAGCUACAUGCGCUGCGAGAGAGCUUUGCGUCCCAUUAGCCUAGUUGGAGAGGUAACGGCUCACCAAGGCGAUGAUGGGUAGCCGGCCUGAGAGGGUGAUCGGCCACAAGGGGACUGAGACACGGCCCUUACUCCUACGGGAGGCAGCACUGGGGAAUAUUGGACAAUGGACCGAGAGUCUGAUCCAGCAAUUCUGUGUGCACGAUGAAGUUUUUCGGAAUGUAAAGUGCUUUCAGUUGGGAAGAAAGAAAUGACGGUACCAACAGAAGAAGUGACGGCUAAAUACGUGCCAGCAGCCGCGGUAAUACGUAUGUCACGAGCGUUAUCCGGAUUUAUUGGGCGUAAAGCGCGUCUAGGUGGUUAUAUAAGUCUGAUGUGAAAAUGCAGGGCUCAACUCUGUAUUGCGUUGGAAACUGUAUAACUAGAGUACUGGAGAGGUAAGCGGAACUACAAGUGUAGAGGUGAAAUUCGUAGAUAUUUGUAGGAAUGCCGAUGGGGAAGCCAGCUUACUGGACAGAUACUGACGCUGAAGCGCGAAAGCGUGGGUAGCAAACAGGAUUAGAUACCCUGGUAGUCCACGCUGUAAACGAUGAUUACUAGGUGUUGGGGGUCGAACCUCAGCGCCCAAGCAAACGCGAUAAGUAUCCGCUGGGGAGUACGUACGCAAGUAUG